rnacentral:lncRNA from 1 species
CUGGAUUCCUCAUGAAAUCGAACCUCUCUGGCGGAUAAUUUUCAGACGAGCUUCUACAUCAGGCAAAAUACAGACGGACUUCUCUAGCAAUCGGGCUCCUGCCAGACUUCUCCAAUAGAAAGUCUCCGUCUGAGCUUCUACAACAGAUGACUUCCACCUGCAGCAUCAGUGCCCAAGACACCCGACAAUAGUGGACUUGUCAGCAACCUCGAAAACAUCCGAGCCUCUCUUAGAUUACUGAGGCAUAGAGCCAGUCCGCUCCCUCAGACGUCCCAGCC